UGGGGAAUUUUGGACAAUGGGGGCAACCCUGAUCCAGCAAUGCCGCGUGUGUGAAGAAGGCCUUCGGGUUGUAAAGCACUUUUGUCCGGAAAGAAAACUUCGGGGCUAAUACCCCUGGAGGAUGACGGUACCGGAAGAAUAAGCACCGGCUAACUACGUGCCAGCAGCCGCGGUAAUACGUAGGGUGCGAGCGUUAAUCGGAAUUACUGGGCGUAAAGCGUGCGCAGGCGGUGCUGUAAGACCGAUGUGAAAUCCCCGGGCUUAACCUGGGAACUGCAUUGGUGACUGCAGCGCUGGAGUAUGGCAGAGGGGGGUGGAAUUCCACGUGGAGCAGUGAAAUGCGUAGAGAUGUGGAGGAACACCGAUGGCGAAGGCAGCCCCCUGGGCCAAUACUGACGCUCAUGCACGAAAGCGUGGGGAGCAAACAGG
rnacentral:rRNA from 1 species